rnacentral:rRNA from 2 species
GGGUUGUGAGGUUAAGCGACUAAGCGUACACGGUGGAUGCCCUGGCAGUCAGAGGCGAUGAAGGACGUGCUAAUCUGCGAUAAGCGCCGGUAAGGUGAUAUGAACCGUUAUAACCGGCGAUUUCCGAAUGGGGAAACCCAGUGUGACUCGUCACACUAUCAUUAACUGAAUCCAUAGGUUAAUGAGGCGAACCGGGGGAACUGAAACAUCUAAGUACCCCGAGGAAAAGAAAUCAACCGAGAUUCCCCCAGUAGCGGCGAGCGAACGGGGAGGAGCCCAGAGCCUGAAUCAGCAUGUGUGUUAGUGGAAGCGUCUGGAAAGGCGCGCGAUACAGGGUGACAGCCCCGUACACAAAAGCGCAUGUGCUGUGAGCUCGAUGAGUAGGGCGGGACACGUGGUAUCCUGUCUGAAUAUGGGGGGACCAUCCUCCAAGGCUAAAUACUCCUGACUGACCGAUAGUGAACCAGUACCGUGAGGGAAAGGCGAAAAGAACCCCGGCGAGGGGAGUGAAAAAGAACCUGAAACCGUGUACGUACAAGCAGUGGGAGCACCCUUCGGGGUGUGACUGCGUACCUUUUGUAUAAUGGGUCAGCGACUUAUAUUCUGUAGCAAGGUUAACCGAAUAGGGGAGCCGGAGGGAAACCGAGUCUUAAUUGGGCGUUAAGUUGCAGGGUAUAGACCCGAAACCCGGUGAUCUAGCCAUGGGCAGGUUGAAGGUUGGGUAACACUAACUGGAGGACCGAACCGACUAAUGUUGAAAAAUUAGCGGAUGACCUGUGGCUGGGGGUGAAAGGCCAAUCAAACCGGGAGAUAGCUGGUUCUCCCCGAAAGCUAUUUAGGUAGCGCCUCGUGAAUUCAUCUCCGGGGGUAGAGCACUGUUUCGGCUAGGGGGCCAUCCCGGCUUACCAACCCGAUGCAAACUGCGAAUACCGGAGAAUGUUAUCACGGGAGACACACGGCGGGUGCUAACGUCCGUCGUGAAGAGGGAAACAACCCAGACCGCCAGCUAAGGUCCCAAAGUCAUGGUUAAGUGGGAAACGAUGUGGGAAGGCCCAGACAGCCAGGAUGUUGGCUUAGAAGCAGCCAUCAUUUAAAGAAAGCGUAAUAGCUCACUGGUCGAGUCGGCCUGCGCGGAAGAUGUAACGGGGCUAAACCAUGCACCGAAGCUGCGGCAGCGACACUGUGUGUUGUUGGGUAGGGGAGCGUUCUGUAAGCCUGCGAAGGUGGCCUGUGAGGGUUGCUGGAGGUAUCAGAAGUGCGAAUGCUGACAUAAGUAACGAUAAAGCGGGUGAAAAGCCCGCUCGCCGGAAGACCAAGGGUUCCUGUCCAACGUUAAUCGGGGCAGGGUGAGUCGACCCCUAAGGCGAGGCCGAAAGGCGUAGUCGAUGGGAAACGGGUUAAUAUUCCCGUACUUGGUGUUACUGCGAAGGGGGGACGGAGAAGGCUAUGUUGGCCGGGCGACGGUUGUCCCGGUUUAAGCGUGUAGGUGUGUGUUCCAGGUAAAUCCGGUUCACUUUAACACUGAGGCGUGACGACGAGGCACUACGGUGCUGAAGCAACAAAUGCCCUGCUUCCAGGAAAAGCCUCUAAGCAUCAGGUAACAUCAAAUCGUACCCCAAACCGACACAGGUGGUCAGGUAGAGAAUACCAAGGCGCUUGAGAGAACUCGGGUGAAGGAACUAGGCAAAAUGGUGCCGUAACUUCGGGAGAAGGCACGCUGACAUGUAGGUGAAGUGAUUUACUCAUGGAGCUGAAGUCAGUCGAAGAUACCAGCUGGCUGCAACUGUUUAUUAAAAACACAGCACUGUGCAAACACGAAAGUGGACGUAUACGGUGUGACGCCUGCCCGGUGCCGGAAGGUUAAUUGAUGGGGUCAGCGCAAGCGAAGCUCCUGAUCGAAGCCCCGGUAAACGGCGGCCGUAACUAUAACGGUCCUAAGGUAGCGAAAUUCCUUGUCGGGUAAGUUCCGACCUGCACGAAUGGCGUAAUGAUGGCCAGGCUGUCUCCACCCGAGACUCAGUGAAAUUGAACUCGCUGUGAAGAUGCAGUGUACCCGCGGCAAGACGGAAAGACCCCGUGAACCUUUACUAUAGCUUGACACUGAACAUUGAGCCUUGAUGUGUAGGAUAGGUGGGAGGCUUUGAAGUGUGGACGCCAGUCUGCAUGGAGCCGACCUUGAAAUACCACCCUUUAAUGUUUGAUGUUCUAACGUGGACCCGUAAUCCGGGUUGCGGACAGUGUCUGGUGGGUAGUUUGACUGGGGCGGUCUCCUCCUAAAGAGUAACGGAGGAGCACGAAGGUUGGCUAAUCCUGGUCGGACAUCAGGAGGUUAGUGCAAUGGCAUAAGCCAGCUUGACUGCGAGCGUGACGGCGCGAGCAGGUGCGAAAGCAGGUCAUAGUGAUCCGGUGGUUCUGAAUGGAAGGGCCAUCGCUCAACGGAUAAAAGGUACUCCGGGGAUAACAGGCUGAUACCGCCCAAGAGUUCAUAUCGACGGCGGUGUUUGGCACCUCGAUGUCGGCUCAUCACAUCCUGGGGCUGAAGUAGGUCCCAAGGGUAUGGCUGUUCGCCAUUUAAAGUGGUACGCGAGCUGGGUUUAGAACGUCGUGAGACAGUUCGGUCCCUAUCUGCCGUGGGCGCUGGAGAACUGAGGGGGGCUGCUCCUAGUACGAGAGGACCGGAGUGGACGCAUCACUGGUGUUCGGGUUGUCAUGCCAAUGGCACUGCCCGGUAGCUAAAUGCGGAAGAGAUAAGUGCUGAAAGCAUCUAAGCACGAAACUUGCCCCGAGAUGAGUUCUCCCUGAGACUUAGAGUCUCCUGAAGGAACGUUGAAGACGACGACGUUGAUAGGCCGGGUGUGUAAGCGCAGCGAUGCGUUGAGCUAACCGGUACUAAUGAACCGUGAGGCUUAACCUUACAACGCCGAAG